UACAGAGGGUGCAAGCGUUGUUCGGAAUUAUUUGGGCGUAAAGCGCGUGUAGGCGGCUUUGCAAGUCGGGUGUGAAAGUCCCUCCAGCUCAACUGAGGAAGUGCGCCCGAAACUGCAGAGCUUGAGUCUCGGAGAGGAUGGUAGAAUUCCCCAAGUAGAGGUGAAAUUCGUAGAUAUGGGGAGGAAUACCGGUGGACGAAGGCGGCCAUCUGGACGAGCGACUGACGCUGAGACGACGAAAGCGUGGGUAGCAAACAGG
rnacentral:rRNA from 1 species